GAUGAACGCUAGCGGGAGGCUUAACACAUGCAAGUCGAGGGGCAUCACGAGGUAGCAAUACUUUGGUGGCGACCGGCGCACGGGUGAGUAACGCGUAUGCAACCUACCCUGUACAGUGGGAUAACCCGGAGAAAUUCGGACUAAUACCGCAUAAAGAUAUUUUGAGGCAUCUUAAGAUAUUUAAAGCUUAGGUGGUACGGGAUGGGCAUGCGUAACAUUAGCUGGUUGGUAGGGUAACGGCCUACCAAGGCGAUGAUGUUUAGGGGACCUGAGAGGGUGAUCCCCCACACUGGUACUGAGACACGGACCAGACUCCUACGGGAGGCAGCAGUGAGGAAUAUUGGUCGAUGGGCGGAAGCCUGAACCAGCCAUCCCGCGUGCAGGAAGACAGCCCUAUGGGUUGUAAACUGCUUUUCCAGUGGGCGAAACACUCGUACGUGUACGAGAUUGACGGUACACUGGGAAUAAGCAUCGGCUAACUCCGUGCCAGCAGCCGCGGUAACAC
rnacentral:rRNA from 1 species